rnacentral:pre_miRNA from 14 species
AAAUGAUGCUGAACUAUUUUUGCGAUGUGUUCCUAAUAUGUAAUACGAAUGUAUUGGGAACAUUUUGCAUUCAUAGUUUUGUGUCAAUAAU